rnacentral:rRNA from 1 species
UACGUAGGGUGCAAGCGUUGUCCGGAAUUAUUGGGCGUAAAGAGCUCGUAGGCGGUUUGUCGCGUCUGCUGUGAAAACCCGAGGCUCAACCUCGGGCCUGCAGUGGGUACGGGCAGACUAGAGUGCGGUAGGGGAGAUUGGAAUUCCUGGUGUAGCGGUGGAAUGCGCAGAUAUCAGGAGGAACACCAAUGGCGAAGGCAGAUCUCUGGGCCGAUUACUGACACUGAGAAGCGAAAGCAUGGGGAGCGAACAGG